ensembl:lincRNA
GUCCGCCUGCCGGAGGCUGAGCACCUAUGGCUACUUGCUCCUUUGCGUCCCUUAGCAGGCUGUCCCUCCCCUGCUUCCACUCUUUGAGGGUAGAGGUUUGGAGCCGUGUUUUCACCUGCGCUAAACACAGAUCCAGGAAUAAACUCAUUCAUCUCAAAGUCAGCUCCGGGUCCCCGGACAUGGCUGGCUAGUCCACACAGAUGCCAUCCCGAGGGAAGGGUCCUCCCUUUAAUUUUACAGUCUUUGCCCUUUCUACAGAUGGUUAAAAAGCAAUGAAAAUACGACUCCCCUAUCUGCUCCACGCAGAUCCUUCGAGACAGAGCCCAGAAUCAGAGCUUUGGCAAACCGAACCUCAGGUGAGACCACAAGGACAAGUUUGCACAUGUAUUAUCAUUCUUUCAUUAUUGUUGUUAUUGCAAUUGUGAAGAUGGAAUCCCAGUCCUCAAAAAUGAUAAGCACAGCCUCUUCCACUGAGCUAUACCCUGGAGCCUGAUGCCCUCAAGCCUUCUGCACAGAGUGCCUUGGGACCCUGGAAACCUGCCUGCUGCCUACCUGUGUUGGAAAUUAUCUCUUGCAAACCCUUUGUCCCCUUCAUGGGGUUAUGAAUUCACACAAAUAUUCUCAGAAGAAACACUGGACGCUUAGUGGCUACCUUGAGCCUCGGUUUCUUCAUCACCUUUUGAGGAUGGAGAGAAGCUUGAGACACAUUCAGAGGAGACGCCAUCAGCCACCUGGGCCAUGCCAAAACAGAAGCUGCCUCCUGCUCCUGCAGAGUAUGUGUACCAGCUUGUCUGGGUUUUGAUUGACAGGGGAACGUUUUCCUGACUGGCAAAUAUUUGUGUUCCCGAGUUGGCUGUGCUCCGCUUCCUGGUUUACACAGUCUCUAAAAGAGCAAAGGCACUAUACAGAGAGGAUGGUGAUAGGAGACAGACAGACGGCUGGGAGAACAGCUAGCUCUAUGCCUCUUCCUGUAAGACUGGGACAGUGCUGCUGAGUGGCCGGCCACUGGGCUUCUUGGGGGCGGAGAAUGAGGGUACCUGUGCCCGGCGCCCUGCACCUGACACAGGGGCAGUGGCAGGAUGCUGCAACGUGUCUCUCUGGCAGAGAGUUCAUAACACCCAAAAUCAGGCAUGACCAACUUCUGGCAGCAGAUACACAGAGGGAGAAAGGGCAGUUACCCCACACCAAGGGUAAGACUCAACCCAAGCAGCUGCUCCAAUAGGGCAUAGAUGAUACCUACUGGGCACAUGCCUCCAAUCCCAGCACACUGGAGGUGCUGCCGUGUGUGUGUGUGUCCAUCCAGUCCAGUCUCCCCCAGCCUCACCCCACCCUCCCACUCCCAGUCAGACCCAUUGUGCACCAAGCUGGGCUGGAGGGAGGAAGCUUAACAUGCGCAGAAGAUAAAAUUAUAAAAGCCAGCCUCAGAAGUCUGGGCGGCGUGAUUCUCUUCAACCAUGCAUCCACCAACACGCAGGUCCCUAGCAACAGAAAGAUCUGCGGUUGCCCAGGAGGAGGAAGAAAUGGGAGACUAUUCAUGGUACUCAAUCUUCCUCGGAGUUUCUGGGUAAAGAUUACACAGCUCUGUACAAUUGCCAAAGUCACCGAAUUACAGGUGCCCAAAAUCCAGUGGUUUUUGCUUUUGUUUUGUUUUGUUUUAUUUUGUUUUUCUGGUUUUUUUGAGGCAGGGUUUUCUUUGUAUGGCCCUGGCUGUCCAGGAACUCGAUCUGUAAGUCAAGCUGGCCUUGAACUCAGAGAUCCUCCUGCCUCGGUCUCUCAAGUCCUGGGAGUAAAGGCGUGCGCCAUCACGCCAUCCGAUGGGUCCCAGGUUCCCUGAACACUAAGAAGCUCAGAGAUCUCCCCCCACCCCAACACCCAGGGGCUGAACAGACAGAGACAGUGGGGUCAUGGGGGGAGGAAAUAACAAAAGCAGCUGCUCCGGGGAGACCAGUUUACUUCAGUUACAACCCCUCGCUGCGGGGAAGUCAGGGCAGGAGUGUAGACAGCUGACCUCAUCACACCCCUGACAAGAGCAGAGAGCAGUGCAUGCGGUCUGAUUAGCGCCCAGUCUGCCUUCUCCUCUUCUACAGAGCAAAGCCGCACCCCUGGGAAUGGCUACACCUGCUUUUAAAUCCACAGUGAUGGAGACAGUCCCCCACAGGCCUCCCUGAUCUAGCCCACCUCUCACUGAGACUGCAACAUGUGUCAAGAUGACGAUUUGCACUAGGAGCCUCUGGACUUCGAAAGUUGGAUACUUAGGAUGCCACAUCAUUAUUUAUUGCUUUAGGGAAAAAAAAACCCUCAGGAAGCUAGGAUACCCCACAAGGCCAAAAGUUAGAGGAGGCAUUGGUGUGAUUUUGUACCCAGUUAGUAGACAGGACCUUGGGAAAUCUGGCUCAGUGGCAGAGCAUGUGGCUAGAAUUCCCAGAGCCCCAGGUGAAUACCUGGUACUGC